GCGGGUUUAGCUCAGUUGGGAGAGCGUCAGACUGAAGUCAAACUUCAAUCCUCACCAAACCAAGUGAUAUCUGAAGGUCGUGUGUUCGAUCCACACAAACCGCA
rfam:Fusarium verticillioides 7600 chromosome 4, whole genome shotgun sequence.